rnacentral:lncRNA from 1 species
AAUGGUAGCUGAUCUAACUUAGACUCAAGUCACCUGAGUUAUCCUUCUUUUACAUUUCUUUUCUUUUUAUCCUUCCCACUACAUGUUUCCUUAAUAUUGCAUAGAUCUAGCGCUUUUUGGUGUAGCUCCCAGUCUUUGAGUUGUAUUCGGGCUCCAAGACUAGCUUGUGGUAGUCGAAUGUUAAACGGGAACAUCCCGGCUCAUAUAUCAGCUUUAAUAGUCGGUAUGAUAAUGUCCUUUGGAUGGGCCACGCCACAGGAAAAAGCUAAAGCCUAGAUGUUCAUGCAUAUCACUCAUUUAUUUUAACCACGACAUAUUUGUUUAAAUGCAUUCAUCCUCCACUUUGCAUUGCCUUGCAUAUAAAAAUUAAAAAAUAAUAAUGAUAAUAAAAUAAAAAAAUAUUUGCCUCUUGUCUUCAUCACUAAUUAUCUUGUCUCUAGUAUAAUGAAUCUUGUUCAUCCUAUCAUGCUCCCUCUUUGUAUGUUAGCAUGCUCUGGUUUGGUUAUACUAAUCGCUCGAGUGAGUACCUACAUAGUCUUUCUAAAUUAAGCAUGGUGCUUAGGUUAAAUAGACUACCUUAAUCAAACAAGACAUGGUGUUAAGUUUGAUUAUUGAACCAAACAUACUUGCAUGGAACUUGGUUGCACUUUUGGAAUAACCCCUACAGCAAGAACAUCGAUAUCUCUAUGGGUAAGUCAUCAGAUCAUUCAUGGAGACAACUUGAGAUCCUCAUGGUCGAAGACAAGUUUCUUGGCCAAAGAGAACUUCGUUGCAACUAAGAAGGGCCAAUGCUAUGACUCAUCAUCUUCGAGCUAAGUGGCCACCUUCUUAAGAGUUUUCUAUGAGUUUGAUCC